rnacentral:siRNA from 1 species
GACCACCACCACGUUUCCUCCGCC